AUGGAUUUCCUUCUCUGGUGCAUCCCGGGGUCACUGAGGCUGGAAAAGCUCUCCCAGCCCAACCUGUGCCCAUCCCCAGCUUGUGCCACCUCCGGGCCUGGGGACUCCCAGCCCCCCUGGGCACCUUUUCCUGCAGGAAUUCCUGCUGCCAACACCUGGGCACCUUUUCCUGCAGGAAUUCCUGCUGCUAACACCUGGGCGCCUUUUCCUUGCAGGAAUUCCUGCUUCAAACACCUGAGCACCUUUUCCUGCAGGAAUUCCUGCUGCCAACACCUGAGCACCUUUUCCUGCAGGAAUUCCUGCUGCCAACACCUGGGCACCUUUUCCUUGCAGGAAUUCCUGCUGCCAACACCGGAGCACCUUUUCCUUGCAGGAAUUCCUGCUGCCAACACCUGGGCACCUUUUCCUGCAGGAAUUCCUGCUGCUAACACCUGAGCACCUUUUCCUUGCAGGAAUUCCUGCUGCCGACACCUGAGCACCUUUUCCUUGCAGAAAUUUCUGCUGCCAACACCUGGGCACCUUUUCCUUGCAGGAAUUCCUGCUGCCAACACCUGGGCACCUUUUCCUGCAGGAAUUCCUGCUGCCAACACCGGAGCGCCUUUUCCUUGCAGGAACUCCUGCUGCCAACACCUGGGCACACUUUCCUUGCAGGAAUUCCUGCUUCAAACACCUGGGCACCUUUUCCUGCAGGAAUUCCUGCUGCUGUCCAGCCUGCAAAGCCUGAGGCCGUUCCUCCUGUCCUGGGAGCCUCGUGGCCACCACGGAGCAGGUCCCCAAGCAAAGCAGAGUUUGGAACCCACAGAGGUGCUCCAGGUGCCACCUCCUCGGGCUGUGGCAUCCCAGGCUGGCUGAGCCAGCAGUGCCCUUCAUUCUUUGAAAGAAUGUUUGUAAAUCAGCAGGGUGAGAGGAGAGGGGACCUGCCAGGGCACAAAGAAUCUCUGUUCUUGUGCAACCCUUGGCUUCCCUCAGCCUGCCUGAGCUGUCCAAGGUAAACACAGAGCUCUGCUGUGCCAUCCUGGGAAACUGCACUCAGCAGGACAAGCUUUCUUCUGGUAAACCCAGGCAGCUUUUGUUGUAUUUUUUUUUUUUUUUAAUUUUUUUUUUUUUAAGGAGACAAUGACUUUUUUACUGAUUGUCCCAUCACUCCCACACAGCACAGCUGCUGCUGGACAAAGUCUUGCUGUGUGCAGUGGCCAAAUCCCUGGGUGUUAAUGAUGUAGCAAGGCUGGGAAGGCUCUGGGAGCACGUGAGGCUGGAUUGUACAACUGCUGCAUUUUGGGUGUUUGGUUGUAAUUCUCAGGGUGAACAUGUGGGACUCAGCUCCGGCUGCUGCGCUUGGGUUUUAUUUAGCAUCAGCACUGGGUGGUAAUUUGCAUUUAUAGAAGGUGCUCAUUUAGGAAGAGAAUUUGUUCUCGAGGUGAGGUACAGUCAGUUC
rnacentral:lncRNA from 1 species